CCUACGGUGGGCAGCAGUGGGGGAUAUUGGACAAUGGGGGGAACCCUGAACCAGCGACGCCGCGUGAGUGAAGACGUAUCUCGGUAUGUAAAGCUCUAUCAGCAGGGAAGCAGAAAUGACGGUACCUGAGUAGGCAGCCCCGGCUAACUACGAACCAGCAGCUGCGGUAAUCCGUAGGGCGCCAGCGUUAUCCGGAAUUACUGGGUGUAAAGGGAGCGUAGACGGUGGUGUAAGUCUGGAGUGAAAGGCGGGGGCCCAACCCCCGGACUGCGGUGGAAACUCUGUGACUGGAGUGCAGGAGAGGUGUGCGGAAUGCCUAGUGUAGCGGUGAAAUGCGUAGAUAUUAGGAGGAACACCAGUGGCGAAGGCGGCUCACUGGACCGUAACUGACGUUGAUGCUCGAAAGCGUGGGGAGCAAACAGGAUUAGAUACCCCGGUUGUC
rnacentral:rRNA from 1 species